AAAAUUUUCAAAUUCAUAUAUUCACCAUUAAAUUACAAUUCUAACGAAUGAUUAAAUAAAACAAAUCCACAUUAGGAUAAAAAAGCAAAUAACUGAAAUAAAAGAAAAGAACAAAGAAGAAAAAGAGUUCAGGCUCACCUUGGUAUUGGUAUUUAAGGGAAUAACACCUCUAGCCAAAUCCUCAAUUAAGUAAACAACUUCGUGAAUAAUCUCAAGACCAUUCAAUUCAAGCGAUACAUUCACGUACGACCAUCAUCUUGCCCUAAGUUUACCUCCAUGAAAACUCACAAGCCCUGGUUCUCUCCCUAUAGCCUCUGUACCUAACCAAAACAUCGAGAGAAUUAUAGUUCAAAGAGAAGAAGUCCCUAUUUCGAACCUUGACGAGGAGAGAGAACGAGAGCUCGAUGGUGAGUAUCGGGGACGAGUUAACACGGACGUAAUUGAGUUGAAUUCGAGUGAUUUGGUGUGUAGAGCCGAAAGAGUGAAGGAAGAAAACAGCGGCAAAGAGCAGGAGGAUAACGGAAGUGAAAAAGAUGCAGUAGCGGAAGAAGAGGAGGGAAUAGUUGGGAGGUGGGUGGUAGUACGUGAGAACGACGACGUUUUAGGGAACAGGGCCACGGUGGGAAGGUAGAGAAGCAUAGCAACACAGGAGGUUUUUGAGUAUUAGAUUAUGAUUUUUAAUUUGGGCGUUAUUUCUCAUUUUAAUUCUUUAAAUUAAGAGUUUCAGCCUAAUUAAAAUUUUAAUAUAGAUUGAAUUAGAGUUAACUAUUAUGUAGAUUUUAGAUAAAAAUAAAAUAAAAUAAAAUAAAAUAAAAUAAUGUCACAGAUGUUAGAUUUUAUUUUUAAUUAAUAUUAAAUUAAAAUUUUAUUAUAAUUAUAAUAAAUUUAAAAAUUGAAAUUUUUUAAUUUAAAAUUAAAAUUUUAGAUUAUAAAUAAAAAAAUAAAAAAAAAAAACGGAAAAUCACAGUCUUUUUAAGUCACACGACUCAACUUUUACUUGGGAAUAAUCUAAGCAAACUUGAUUUGGCUUGGAUUUAAAGGUGGUCCAACAUGCUUUCUUCUGUUGUGGGCUUCACCAUUAGGAUAUAUUCUGAUUCUUUUUUUUUUUUUUUUCCAUGUCUGGAAUUUAUGCUUGCCUUUGGACAGAAGAAUUUAGGAAUCAAAAUAAAAGAAAUCAAAUAACUUUACAAAUUAAAAACAUGACUAAAAUAAAACAAAGAGUAACUAAAAUUCAGAAUUUUGAGUAUUUUUAUUAUCUCUACAUUUUUUAAAUUUUAUUAAGGCAUCUCGAUUUUAUUAAAUUUUUCAGCUUUCCUAUUUAUUGGUCUGUUAAUGUUUAAAAUAUUUUAAAAUGCUUAUAAACUUCCAAUAAUUAUAGAGAUAAUUUAAUCGUUUUUUAUUUGAUGAAAGUAUUACUGAUACAAAAAUUUAAAAAUAAAAAAAAAUAUUUAUUUAAAAUUUAUUUAAUUUUUUUUUACCAUAAAAAAAAUUGCAUUAAAAUGUCCAAAACAACAUCAAGAGACUAAACCCAUAACUCAAAGAUCAUAUGAAUCCAAGCCCAGAGAAAAAAAAAAAAAAAAAACUUGGUCUGAAUAAACCCUGACCCAAAGACUAUUAGAACCUGCCAAUUACACCGAACCAAGACCGACUCAUCAAGGGAUUGCAACAAUUAGGGCAAUGAGCAACAAAUCACCAUUUCAUGCAGUCGCAAAACCAUCCAAACAAACCGGCAACAAUCAAUCAUUGACGACAAUUGUCAAACAAAACUAGAAGCCUACUUGACCAAGCGAAAUCAACAUGUAGCCCAAAAUAGCGAACCAUCCUCCAUUUUAGUUGUGCCAUUUCGAAUAGUAACAAUCGUUUGGGGUCAAUUUUCAAUUUUAUUAUUGUUUUAAAAUUUUUCAUAAUUUUUUAUAUUAGAUUUUUUCUAUUAUAAAUAGGAUUUUCUUCAUUAGUUGAGACACUUUUCAAUUUUUGAAAAUUCAAUAAGAAAUUUCUACUUUUAACUUUUUAUUUUCUGAAUUUUGUCUUAACCAAAUAUUAUUAAUUAAAACUCUUGAUGGAGUCUAAACAGUUCUAUUUCCAUUGGUAUCAGCGCAAAGUUCAUCCAUGGCCGACAACCAAGAGGCGCGACUCGCUGCAAUUGAGGCAUCCUUGGCAGAAUUGAGGAAGAUGAUUGGACAGCUAGCCCUACGACUCUAUCAACAAAAGGUUUGAGGAGAU
rnacentral:lncRNA from 1 species